rnacentral:rRNA from 1 species
UACGUAGGGUGCGAGCGUUAAUCGGAAUUACUGGGCGUAAAGCGUGCGCAGGCGGCUUCGCAAGUCAGACGUGAAAGCCCCGGGCUUAACCUGGGAAUGGCGUUUGAAACUACGGAGCUGGAGUGUGGCAGAGGGAGGUAGAAUUCCACGUGUAGCGGUGAAAUGCGUAGAUAUGUGGAGGAAUACCGAUGGCGAAGGCAGCCUCCUGGGCCAACACUGACGCUCAUGCACGAAAGCGUGGGGAGCAAACAGG